rnacentral:rRNA from 1 species
GAGUUUGAUCCUGGCUCAGGACGAACGCUGGCGGCGUGCUUAACACAUGCAAGUCGAACGGAAUCCAUGGUGUAGCAAUACACCGGAAGAUUUAGUGGCGAACGGGUGAGGAUCACGUGAGAAACCUGCCCCAGACUUUGGGAUAACAAUUGGAAACGAUUGCUAAUACCGAAUGACGUCGGAGAACCGCAUGGUUCACUGACGAAAGGAAAUCCGGUUUGGGAGGGUCUCGCGGCCUAUCAGCUUGUUGGUGGGGUAAUGGCCUACCAAGGCAACGACGGGUAGCUGGUCUGAGAGGAUGAUCAGCCACACUGGGACUGAGACACGGCCCAGACUCCUACGGGAGGCAGCAGUGGGGAAUCUUGCGCAAUGGGCGAAAGCCUGACGCAGCAACGCCGCGUGCGGGAUGAAGGCCUUCGGGCUGUAAACCGCUUUCAGCAGGAACGAAAAUGACGGUACCUGCAGAAGAAGGAGCGGCCAACUACGUGCCAGCAGCCGCGGUGACACGUAGGCUCCAAGCGUUGUCCGGAUUUAUUGGGCGUAAAGAGCUCGUAGGCGGUUUAGUAAGUCGGGUGUUAAAACUCUGGGCUCAACCCGGAGAGGCCAUCCGAUACUGCUGUGACUUGAGUUCAGGAGGGGAGCGGGGAAUUCCUAGUGUAGCGGUGAAAUGCGCAGAUAUUAGGAGGAACACCGGUGGCGAAGGCGCCGCUCUGGACUGAAACUGACGCUGAGGAGCGAAAGCAUGGGUAGCAAACAGGAUUAGAUACCCUGGUAGUCCAUGCCGUAAACGGUGGGCACUACGUGUGGGUUCCAACUAACGGGAUCCGCGCCGUCGCUAACGCAUUAAGUGCCCCGCCUGGGAGUACGGUCGCAGACUAAACUCAAGGAAUUGACGGGGUCCGCACAGCAGCGGAGCGUGU